CGGAGACCAAGGAUCCAAAAAAAGUACAACCUCAUUUGAAAAAAUGUUUUGAGGGCAUUGCUAGUCUCGUUUUUACCGAAAAAUUGGAGGUCUUGUCUAUGGUAUCCAGUGAAAAGGAAGUCGUGAAAUUAUCAAUAGAGAUAAACACAGCUAAGGCUAAAGGUCAAGUCGAGAAAUGGCU